AGAAGAAUGUUGCUUGGCCUGCUAUAAGCCCCUCCUUGGUAGCUGCUAUUGUCAGUAUCCGUCCCGAUUGCUAGGUGUACGUUGGAUUGGAUUGGUGCGGCCCGUUUCGAUUUUGUGUCGGUUUGCUGAAAUUGUCGGAGCAUUCUCCCGUCGAUGUGCAGUAACCUGCGUAGUGACAAGGUAUCCUAUGGAUCGAUG
rnacentral:misc_RNA from 1 species